ensembl:snoRNA SNORA70 Small nucleolar RNA SNORA70
CUGUCUGCAACCAGGCAAGCUCUUUGCCCACGGGGACCCAGUGACCGACAGCUGCAGACAGCGGCCUCCUCGGUGGCGUCUACAGCCUGUUGAUUGCAUGGGUUGCCAAGAGGAACCCUGGAGAGAGCC